GGGGGCUUAGUUUAAAAGUAGAACACCUCUCUUACAAAGAGGAUGCGGGGGAGCAUUACCUCCAGCCCCUA
rnacentral:tRNA from 1 species